rnacentral:rRNA from 1 species
CCCUUAGAUGUUCUGGGCCGCACGCGCGCUACACUGAUGCAUUCAACGAGUCUAAAACCUGGUCUGAUAGGGCUGGGUAAUCUUUUGAAUGUGCAUCGUGAUUGGGAUAGAUGAUUGCAAUUCUUCAUCUUCAACGAGGAAUGCCUAGUAAACGCAAGUCAUCAGCUUGCAUUGAUUACGUCCCUGCCCUUUGUACACACCGCCCGUCGCUCCUACCGAUUGGAUGGUCCGGUGAAGCCUCGGGAUUGUGGCGGUUGCCUUUAUUGGUGGCCGCCGCGAGAACUUGUCUAAACCUUAUCAUCUAGAGGAAGGUGAAGUCGUAACA